UACGAAGGUGGCAAGCGUUGUUCGGAUUUACUGGGCGUACAGGGAGCGUAGGCGGUUGGAUAAGCCCUCCGUGAAAUCUCCAGGCUUAACCUGGAAAGUGCAGAGGGGACUGUUCAGCUAGAGGAUGGGAGAGGAGCGCGGAAUUCCCGGUGUAGCGGUGAAAUGCGUAGAUAUCCGGAGGAACACCGGUGGCGAAGGCGGCUUCCUGGACCGACACUGACGCUGAGGCGCGAAAGCUUGGGGAGCAAACGGG
rnacentral:rRNA from 1 species